AACGAACGCUGGCGGCAGGCUUAACACAUGCAAGUCGAACGCCCCGCAAGGGGAGUGGCAGACGGGUGAGUAACGCGUGGGAACAUACCCUUUUCUACAGAAUAGCUCUGGGAAACUGGAAUUAAUACCGUAUACGCCCUACGGGGGAAAGAUUUAUCGGGGAAGGAUUGGCCCGCGUUGGAUUAGCUAGUUGGUGGGGUAAAGGCCUACCAAGGCGACGAUCCAUAGCUGGUCUGAGAGGAUGAUCAGCCACAUUGGGACUGAGACACGGCCCAAACUCCUACGGGAGGCAGCAGUGGGGAAUAUUGGACAAUGGGCGCAAGCCUGAUCCAGCCAUGCCGCGUGAGUGAUGAAGGCCUUAGGGUUGUAAAGCUCUUUCACCGAUGAAGAUAAUGACGGUAGUCGGAGAAGAAGCCCCGGCUAACUUCGUG
rnacentral:rRNA from 1 species